UCCGUAGGUGAACCUGCGGGGGGAUCAUUACCGAGUUUACAACUCCCAAACCCCUGUGAACAUACCACUUGUUGCCUCGGCGGAUCAGCCCGCUCCCGGUAAAACGGGACGGCCCGCCAGAGGACCCCUAAACUCUGUUUCUAUAUGUAACUUCUGAGUAAAACCAUAAAUAAAUCAAAACUUUCAACAACGGAUCUCUUGGUUCUGGCAUCGAUGAAGAACGCAGCAAAAUGCGAUAAGUAAUGUGAAUUGCAGAAUUCAGUGAAUCAUCGAAUCUUUGAACGCACAUUGCGCCCGCCAGUAUUCUGGCGGGCAUGCCUGUUCGAGCGUCAUUUCAACCCUCAAGCACAGCUUGGUGUUGGGACUCGCGUUAAUUCGCGUUCCCCAAAUUGAUUGGCGGUCACGUCGAGCUUCCAUAGCGUAGUAGUAAAACCCUCGUUACUGGUAAUCGUCGCGGCCACGCCGUUAAACCCCAACUUCUGAAUGUUGACCUCGGAUCAGGUAGGAAUACCCGCUGAACUUAGGCAUAUCAAUAAGCGGAGGA
rnacentral:rRNA from 1 species